rnacentral:rRNA from 1 species
ACACGACUACAUUAGAUACCCCUGUAGUCCUGGCCGUAAACGAUGUGGACUUGGUGUUGGAAUGGCUCCGAGCUGCUCCAGUGCCGUAGGGAAGCCGUGAAGCGAGCCACCUGGGAAGUACGGCCGCAAGGCUGAAACUUAAAGGAAUUGGCGGGGGAGCACAACAACGGGUGGAGCUUGCGGUUUAAUUGGAUUCAACGCCGGAAAUCUUACCGGGACCGACAGCAACAUGAAGGCCAAGCUGAAGACUUUGCCGGAUUAGCUG